GCGCCCGUAGCUCAGUUGGAUAGAGUGUCGGCCUCCGAAGCCGAAGGUCGCAGGUUCGAUUCCUGCCGGGCGCGCCA
rnacentral:tRNA from 4 species